GGGGGGACGCAGUAGGAUAGGCGAAGCGUACGAUUGGAUUGUACGUCCAAGCAGUAAGACUGAGUGUUAGGCAAAUCCGGCACUCAUAAGGUCAAGCUGUGAUGGGGAGAGGAAAUUGUUUCCUCGAGUCGUUGAUUUCACACUGCCGAGAAAAGCCUCUAGCUAGAUUUAUGGUGCCCGUACCGCAAACCGACACAGGUAGUCAAGAUGAGAAUUCUAAGGUGAGCGAGCGAACUCUCGUUAAGGAACUCGGCAAAAUGACCCCGUAACUUCGGGAGAAGGGGUGCUCUUUAGGGUUCACGCCCAGGAGAGCCGCAGUGAAUAGGCCCAAGCGACUGUUUAUCAAAAACACAGGUCUCUGCUAAACCGUAAGGUGAUGUAUAGGGGCUGACGCCUGCCCGGUGCUGGAAGGUUAAGAGGAGUGGUUAGCUUCUGCGAAGCUACGAAUCGAAGCCCCAGUAAACGGCGGCCGUAACUAUAACGGUCCUAAGGUAGCGAAAUUCCUUGUCGGGUAAGUUCCGACCCGCACGAAAGGCGUAACGAUUUGGGCACUGUCUCAACGAGAGACUCGGUGAAAUCAUAGUACCUGUGAAGAUGCAGGUUACCCGCGACAGGACGGAAAGACCCCGUGGAGCUUUACUGUAGUCUGAUAUUGAAAUUCGGUACAGCUUGUACAGGAUAGGUAGGAGCCUUAGAUACGUGAGCGCUAGCUUACGUGGAGGCGUUGGUGGGAUACUACCCUCGCUGUAUUGGAUUUCUAACCCGCACCAUUAAUCAUGGUGGGAGACAGUGUCAGAUGGACAGUUUGACUGGGGCGGUCGCCUCCUAAAGAGUAACGGAGGCGCUCAAAGGUUUCCUCAGAAUGGUUGGAAAUCAUUCAUAGAGUGUAAAGGCACAAGGAAGCUUGACUGCGAGACUUACAAGUCGAGCAGGGUCGAAAGACGGACUUAGUGAUCCGGUGGUUCCGCAUGGAAGGGCCAUCGCUCAACGGAUAAAAGCUACCCCGGGGAUAACAGGCUUAUCUCCCCCAAGAGUUCACAUCGACGGGGAGGUUUGGCACCUCGAUGUCGGCUCAUCGCAUCCUGGGGCUGUAGUCGGUCCCAAGGGUUGGGCUGUUCGCCCAUUAAAGCGGUACGCGAGCUGGGUUCAGAACGUCGUGAGACAGUUCGGUCCCUAUCCGUCGUGGGCGUAGGAAAUUUGAGAGGAGCUGUCCUUAGUACGAGAGGACCGGGAUGGACAUACCUCUGGUGUACCAGUUGUCGUGCCAACGGCAUCGCUGGGUAGCUAUGUAUGGACGGGAUAAGUGCUGAAAGCAUCUAAGCAUGAAGCCCCCCUCAAGAUGAGAUUUCCCAACUUCGGUUAUAAGAUCCCUCAAAGAUGAUGAGGUUAAUAGGUUCGAGGUGGAAGCAUAGCGAUAUGUGGAGCUGACGAAUACUAAUCGAUCGAAGACUUAAUCAAAUU
rnacentral:rRNA from 2 species